rnacentral:rRNA from 1 species
GACGAACCGUGCAAACGUUGUUCGGAAUCAUUGGGCGUAAAGAGCGUGUAGGCGGCCCCUUAAGUCCUGCGUGAAAUCCUGCGGCUCAACCGUAGACGGUCGUGGGAAACUGGAGGGCUAGAGUGCGGGAGAGGAGAGUGGAAUUCCCGGUGUAGCGGUGAAAUGCGCAGAUAUCGGGAAGAACACCCGUGGCGAAGGCGGCUCUCUGGAACGCAACUGACGCUGAGACGCGAAAGCGUGGGGAGCAAACAGG